UUUGUGCAACAGUUAUAUUGUAACCUGGUCAGGACCGGAAGGUAGCAGCCACAUCAAUCUCUAUCUGUGUGCACUUUUUU
rnacentral:SRP_RNA from 1 species